rnacentral:rRNA from 1 species
GCUUCAAGAUGAGGUCUCCCACCACCUUGAGUGGGUAAGGCCCCCAGCCAGACGACUGGGUUGAUAGGCCGGAAGUGCAAGCACCGCAAGGUGCUCAGCUGACCGGUACUAACAGGCCGAGGGCUUGACACUACA